AGUGUAUCUCAACCACUUACGAAACAGAGAGCCUUUGUGGAGAUGCAAUAUCCAAACAUGCAAUCGAAGAAGGAUGGCUUCGCCAUAAGCGUCGUUUUAUACCUUCAAAAAAUGUGAUAACUGUGAUGAUUAUCUUGUAAAACCCUCGUGUUGGCAUGUAUCGUCUAAUAAAAGACCUUAUCGAGUAAGUUUUAAUUCGUUUGUAGUUGUCGUAAAAUGUUUUUUUCUAUGUAAUAUUACAUCGCUUACGUAUAUGUAUACAGAAGUGCUAACAUGUAAGCAGUAAAUUCAUACGUUUUUCUUAGAUUUCUUUUAGAACAAUGUGUAAUGGUUUGACCUUACGAAUCGAACGGGAAUAAAUAAAAAUAUAUAUUUACAAAAGCUUAA